GGCUAAUGCUGGUCCCGGAACCAAUGGAUCUCAGUUCUUCAUUUGUACUGCUAAGACCGAGUGGCUUGAUGGGAAGCACGUGGUGUUUGGUAACGUUGUGGAGGGUCUGGAUGUGGUGAAGGCCAUCGAAAAGGUAGGUUCCAGCUCCGGGAGGACCUCGAAGCCUGUUGUGAUCGCCGAUUGCGGGCAGCUUUCUUAAGUGAUCUGCGAUCGCAGAUGAUGAUAACCGCGGCGGUGAUGGUGGUGGUGAUGGUGUAUCCCUACAUGUGGUAGUAAAUUAGGAUCUGGUGUGCGUACAGGGUUGGGGUCAUCAGUACUUCUUACCCUUUUUUUAGAAUCUUUUUUUUUUAUCAUUUUUCUAUGUUGAUGGGUUGAGAACCACACCAUAAAUAAGAUAAGGCUUCUUUUCUCUUUUACGCGCGAUUAUUAUAUCUUUCCUUUAUAUAAUUACAAGUCUUUGAUCUUAUGAUAGCCUGGGUUUCUCUUUCAGACUAAUGGACUAUUGGGUUGGUAGUGAUAGUGAAAUUGAGAUAAAGUCUUCGGGAUUGGCGACCCUUCAGGCUGUAAAGUAGUUGGUAGUUGUGAUUAGCCUCGUUCCUCAGGCCUUGUAUUGUCUGGUUGAAAACGUGAGAAUGGGACAUUUCCUUGAAUUUGUGAGCUGGGCUUUUAUUUUUCUUUUAUUUUUUCUUUAAAAAAUUUGAUAAAAAAGUUGAGUCUUUCCC
rnacentral:misc_RNA from 1 species